ACAAAAAUAACCACUUUAUUCAGAAUCUCUUCUCUUCCCUGUCAUUAUCUUACGCAGGUGACGCAGUAAUCACAGUGAAGCUUCCGUGUUUACGUCUGAAUGCCGGCUCAGUAUUGGCCAAAGCUGAUCACGUGAUCAGCACGACGCAUGCGUGUGAUGCUGACGCAGGAGCCGGCCAAUAAUGAGUCGUUCUGACGUAGAACCUGGAAGCGCUGGACGUAAACAACGUAUGAGAAUGACACAGAAGAGAAGAGAUUGUUGAAUAAAGUGGUUAUUUUUGUUUUGUUUUUGCGCACAAAAAGUAUUCUCAUCUCUUCAUAACAUUAAGGUUGAACCACUGCAGUCACAUGACUGUUUUAACGAUGUCUUUAGUACCUUUCUGGACCUUGAAUGUGUUGAUUAUAUUGCUGUCUAUGGACGAGUCAUAUACCUCUCGGAUUUCAUCAAAAAUAUCUUAAUUUGUGUUCUGAAGAUGAAUGAAGGUCUUACGGGUGUGGAACGACAUGAGGGUGACAGAAAUUUCAUUUUUGGCUGAACUAACCCUUUAAAUGUGUAUUUUAGAUGUUUUCUUUACACUAGUCUGAAAGAGGACAUGUUAUGCAAGCAAAGUAGACCUCAAAACUGAGUAGUGCAUGAAAAAAAACAAUGGUUUUGUCUGUAGUGUCCAAUAAGUAAGUUGAUAGACGUUCUCCAUGCAGUGAUUCUCGCCACAGGAGGGCAGCAGUGAGCCGCUGCUUUACUGCCUUUGAAAUGACAUUCAGUGAGGAAGGAGCUGCUCCUCCCCCUUCUGUGAUUGGCUGCUGGAUGAGUACAAACAGUACAUGUUCUGACACACACACACUAUUGAACGUCUGAAUCAGCACUCAGGCAUUCAGUAACAGCGAGGGAAGCUCUGAACUCUGAGUGAGGAAAACUCAGAAUCAAAUCAACACUGAUCUAGUGUUAUGAGCUCACACAAUGAGGAGACGUGUGGAGCUCAUCAAACAUUCAUCCACCUAACGCUGCGUCCCCCUCCGUCUCUCCGUCCUCCAGCUCUGCUGUGGCUCUUAUGUAACUCGUCCAGCUGGUGUGUCCAGGGAUGUUUCCCAGGGCUUCACGAGCGUAAUUGCCCAGAUGCAGUGAGGACGCCUGAGGCUGGACUCUGCGGGGCCUUCAAACCCUCCAUGAGUUUAGAGAUGGACUGACCCUGGCUGAUUCUUCAGUCAGUCAGUUUAUAAAGCUGUACAUUGAUUUAAAUUGUAAUUUAAAAGUCCAUACAUACACUACUAGUCAAACUUUUGGAAUAAUUACAUUUUAUUGUGUUUUUUGAAAGAAGUUUCUUCUGCUCACCAAGGCUGCAUUUGGAUCAUUGAUAAAUAAGGGUUUUAAAAGUGUGAAAAAACAUAAUAGAGAUAUAAUUAAUUUUGAAGUUUUAUUAAGUGUUAACAAUGAGAUUAUGUGGUUUUUAUAAUCAAUCAACACUGAUUUUGUCGUUUUUUACAAGAUGGACAAAAUUUGUCACCAAAAAAGUCAUUUGGUUUAACCAAAAUUUCAGUUUUACCGAAUGACGAUAUUUUCACACAAUGCUAACAGGCUGAUAUCUAGCUAGCUAGAAAAAGGCAAUCAAACAUUUUAUAUUUAGUACAAGUUUUUAAAAUAUUACAACAUUUUCCAUGUUUUAUAGCGGUUGUACCGAAUGACCUGAUGUUUCAUGCGUAUGAUCAAGUGAAAACAUGAAUUUAUCAAAUAGUUAAAAGAGAGUUAGUUACUUUGCUUCACGACCAUGUGGUCCUUUGCAGGUGUCUGAAUGAUGUCACAUCCUGUCACAUGAUAUUGACCGCAUGACUUGAUCCAAAAUGGUCCCUUUAUAUUGGUUACUCCGAAUGACAUCAAUGAAAUUCAUUUUACCGGACAUUCUUUCUCAUAACAAAGCAACGACUUUUACACAUAAUUUUAAUAUCAUUUUGCACUAUGUUGAUAUAUGAUGUUAUAAAAUCAUGCCAGAAUAAAAAAUAUAUACAUUUAUUACAUUUUAAGAUAUUUUAGUCACAAAUGAACGGUUGGACGGUUAAACCGAAUGACAUUUUGACACUUCAAAAUCUUUAAAAUCCCUUUAUAUGUGCAAAAUAUAAUCAAAACCUUUUGGAUUCAAUAAAAGAGAUCUAGUUGUACUACCUUACAUACUUUGGAUGUCAUAUCUUUGUUUUUAUUAUUAUUAUUAAGGCCUUUGGACAAAAAAAAUCACGUCAUUGACCCAUUUAUUUGAUCAAAAAUGCAGUAAAAACAGUGAAAUAUUAUUCCAAUGUAAAUCAGCUGUUUUCUAUGUGAAUAUAUAAUAAAGUGUAAUUUAUUCCUGUGAUCAAAGCUGAAUUUUCAGCAUCAUUACUCCAGUCUUCAGUGUCACAUGAUCCUUCAGAAAUCAUUCUAAUAUGAUGAUUUGCUACUCAAGAAACAUUUAUGAUUAUUAUUAAUGUUGAAAACAGUUGUGCUGCUUCAGAUUUCUGUAGAAACUGUGAUUUUUUGAGAAAUAAAUUUCUUUUUAAAUCAAGAUACUCGUCUGUCAGCUGCAGGGAAAAUUCAGAAUGUAACUGGUCCAAACGAAUAAAGCCUCAGAUCUGA